UGGGGAAUAUUGGACAAUGGGGGGAACCCUGAUCCAGCGACGCCGCGUGAGUGAAGAAGUAUUUCGGUAUGUAAAGCUCUAUCAGCAGGGAAGAAAGAAAUGACGGUACCUGACUAAGAAGCCCCGGCUAACUACGUGCCAGCAGCCGCGGUAAUACGUAGGGGGCAAGCGUUAUCCGGAUUUACUGGGUGUAAAGGGAGCGUAGACGGCAAUGCAAGUCUGGAGUGAAAGGCGGGGGCCCAACCCCCGGACUGCUCUGGAAACUGUAUAGCUGGAGUGCAGGAGAGGUAAGUGGAAUUCCUAGUGUAGCGGUGAAAUGCGUAGAUAUUAGGAGGAACACCAGUGGCGAAGGCGGCUUACUGGACUGUAACUGACGUUGAGGCUCGAAAGCGUGGGGAGCAAACAGG
rnacentral:rRNA from 1 species